UAAAACGACUGUAUCUGUGAA
rnacentral:piRNA from 1 species